rnacentral:tRNA from 1 species
GGGCCUGUAGCUCAACGGCAGAGCAGGGGACUCAUAAUCCCUUGGUUCCGGGUUCGAAUCCCGGCGGGCCCA